GAAGUGGGCUGGACGGUCGCUGCUGUGGAGGUCUCCGUGACUGAAACAGGGGAGGAAAGUCCGGGCUUCAUAGGGCAAGGUGCCAGGUAACGCCUGGGCGGCGUAAGCCGACGGCAAGUGCAGCAGAGAGUAGACCGCCUCAUUCGUGAGGUAAGGGUGAAAGGGUGCGGUAAGAGCGCACCGCGUGUCUGGUAACAGUUCACGGCAAGGUAAACCCCACCAGAAGCAAGACCAAAUAGGAAUCCUGAGGCACGGCCCGUGCUGGAUUCGGGUAGGUCGCUUGAGCGUAUGAGUGAUUGUACGCCUAGAGGAAUGAUCGUCCUCGACAGAACCCGGCUUAUAGGCCCACUUCUCAA
rnacentral:RNase_P_RNA from 1 species